rnacentral:rRNA from 1 species
AACGAACGCUGGCGGCAGGCUUAACACAUGCAAGUCGAACGCCCCGCAAGGGGAGUGGCAGACGGGUGAGUAACGCGUGGGAAUCUACCCAGAUCUACGGAACAACAGUUGGAAACGACUGCUAAUACCGUAUACGCCCUACGGGGGAAAGAUUUAUCGGAUUUGGAUGAGCCCGCGUUGGAUUAGCUAGUUGGUGGGGUAAUGGCCUACCAAGGCGACGAUCCAUAGCUGGUCUGAGAGGAUGAUCAGCCACACUGGGACUGAGACACGGCCCAGGCUCCUACGGGAGGCAGCAGUGGGGAAUCUUGGCCAAUGGGCGCAAGCCUGAUCCAGCCAUGCCGCGUGAGUGAUGAAGGCCUUAGGGUUGUAAAGCUCUUUCACCGAUGAAGAUAAUGACGGUAGUCGGAGAAGAAGCCCCGGCUAACUUCGUGCCAGCCGCCGCAGUAAUAC